GUAUUUACUUAGUAACAAGAUCACAUUCCUUCACGACGAUGCAUUUAAAGGGCUGACGAACUUAGCGAAACUGAAUUUAGAUAUGAACCAGCUCACAUCCCUUCACGACGAUGCAUUUAAAGGGCUCACGAACCUAAAUGAACUGUGGCUGCAAUCUAACGGUUUAGACAACCUUUCUGGGGAGCCGUUCAAGAGCUUGACCAAACUACAGGAACU